GAAAUAGCAGAAAAAGACAUCUGUGGCUGUGUAAUUUGUCAUCAUUUUUGUGCACUCUUGGAUUGCAGAACAUGAUAUCAUCAAAGAAAAAGAACGAAGUUGAAAAGAACGGAGAAAUAGUGCAGAGCAAAAAGACAUCUGUGGCUGUGUAAUUUGUCAUCAUUUUUGUGCACUCUUGGAUUGCAGAACAUGAUAUCAUGAAAGAAAAAGAACGAAGAUGAAAAGAACGGAGAAAUAAUGCAGAGCAAAAAGACAUCUGUGGCUGUGUAAUUUGUCAUCAUUUUUGUGCACUCUUGGAUUGCAGAACAUGAUAUCAU